UACGGAGGGGGCUAGCGUUGUUCGGAAUUACUGGGCGUAAAGCGCACGUAGGCGGAUUGAUAAGUCAGGGGUGAAAUCCCGGGGCUCAACCCCGGAACUGCCCUUGAUACUGUCAGUCUUGAGGUCGAGAGAGGUGAGUGGAACUCCGAGUGUAGAGGUGAAAUUCGUAGAUAUUCGGAAGAACACCAGUGGCGAAGGCGGCUCACUGGCUCGAACCUGACGCUGAGGUGCGAAAGUGUGGGGAGCAAACAGG
rnacentral:misc_RNA from 1 species